UCCUCCUGCCUCUGCCUCCCAAGUGCUGGGAUUAAAGGCUUGUUGGGAUUAAAGGUGUGGGCCACCACCCGGCAAAAUAAUGGAACAUUGGAAACUGUAAAUGCAUCCAUGUAUUUUAUCUUUGCCUGGAGAAUGUGAGCCGCCUGGGCCACUUGGACCUAAGAUUGAGGAUUUUCCCCUCUCAGCGAGUCUGCUUAUUUUAGGCCCAGGCCUGACGGUAAUCAGACCUUACACACAGCUCCGGUCAGCUCUGCCUUCAACCUACAAAGCGCUGCUUCUUCUAGCAGCUGCCAACCCUUCCCCCUUUCCCUCCCAUCCCAUAAUGACGCUUUUGUUUAGUGAGACGGGUCCAGGUUUCUUUCUUUCUUUCUUCUUUUUUUUUUUUGUUUUGUUUUGUUUUUUGUUUUUCGAGACAGGGUUUCUCUGUGUAGCUUUGGAGGCUGUCUUGGCACUCUCUCUGUAGACCAGGCUGGCCUCGAACUCACAGAGAUCCGCCUGUCUCUGCCUCCCGAGUGCUGCAAUUAAAGGUGUGCGACACCAACGCCAGGCUGGGUCCAGGUUUCUUUGGUGAACCAUCUCUAUUUUAUUUUAUUUUAUUAGUUCAAAUUAGGAACAAGCUUGCUUCAGAUGUCAAUCCCCUCCCCCCAACAUCCCACCUGCCCCUAGCCAUCCCCCCUCCACUCCCUAGGCAGGGUAAGGCCCUCAAAAGGGGCUCCCCAAAGUCUACCACAUCAUCCUGGGCCAGGCCUAGGCCCUUCGCCAUGUGUCCAGGUCAAGAGAGCAUCCCUUCACAAGGGAUGGGCUCUCAAAAUCCCUUCUUUUUUUUUUUUUUAAGACCUUACAUAUUUAAUACAGUGUGUUACCCCUGUACAAUUGGAAAAAAAUUAAGGGUGAACCAUCUCUCUCAUUGCAGUUAAGUCCAAACGUUUUGUUCUCUACAAGUCAAGCUUACAGUUGUGUUCUCCACGGAAGGUUCCACCGCUUGCACCGUAGGUCCUGCUCCAUGACAACGGCAACAAAAUAGAAUAAAAGUUCUAGUGAAAUAGGUUUUCGUUUGUGCAGCCACCCUUGCUCAGAAGGCCACGGAUGUGUCCAUCUGCAGCCGUCUCUGCAGCCGUCUCCCGGUUCUCCAGUGCUCCGCUGCACCCUUCCCCGCCAUCUCUAUUUCCCCCACACCCUCCUCCGGAGGAAACCUUUGCUCCAUUUCUCAUUUUUUCCUGUCUAACCGUGCCACGGCCGCAGUUGCAUCCAUCCCCGGGUGUCAGCAACCCGCCAUUCAGGGAUUCACCGUGAGCAGACGGACGCCCGACGGGAGCCAUGGCAACCGUGCACUUCGCCGCCUCCUCGCCCUUUAAAUAAAUAAACACUCACGGAGAGGCACCGGCUCGGCUUUCCACGCCAGCGAGCGCCGGCCGGAGGGCACGCGACCUCCCCGUGGGCUGCAAAGACUGGCCGUUGCCCCGGGCAACCGCGCGGUUUCCCACGAGACACGCCGCCCC
rnacentral:lncRNA from 1 species